rnacentral:rRNA from 1 species
CUCGUAGGUGGCCAACUAAGUCGGACGUGAAAUCCCUCGGCUUAACCGGGGAACUGCGUCCGAUACUGGAUGGCUUGAGUUUGGGAGAGGGACGCGGAACUUCCAGGUGUAGCGGUGAAAUGCGUAGAUAUCUGGAGGAACACCGGUGGCGAAGGCGGCGUCCUGGACCAACACUGACACUGAUGAGCGAAAGCCAGGGAGCAAACG